rnacentral:lncRNA from 12 species
GGGAAAUCCACUGGAGUUUGCAAAGAGAGGGGAGAGAGAUCUUAGCAGACAAUGUUAGGGAAUGCUCAAAUUAGGGGCAUUUGAAGAGUUGUUUUCUUCCAUUUUUCUGAAGCUUCCAUAUUUUCUAUAAUAGUCAUGGCAUUCUCUUUAUAAAUGGUGGGAUGUUUACCUUUAAGUCUGAUAUUAUUUUCACCAUAUAUAUUACUUAGAGAGGUAUAAAGUGUGAUCUAAAUCACAGAUCUAGCUAAUUCAAAUUAUUAUUCUUUUUGUUUCAGGCCUAAUGAAUCAGGACUUCAGUGGAUGGUGCCCAGGAAUCUGAAUUGUCAACAAACUUGCCAGGGCAUUCUUAAGCACACCGAAGUUUAAGAGCCAAUGACCCAGAGUACAGCUGCAUGGACCCUAGACACAGCCAUUUUCCUCGUGUCCACCAACCUGGCCCAGCUCUCACAGAAAUUCCUACCCAGAAAGAAGCAAAAAGAGAGAUUAAGGGAAACUUCCUGGACUAUUCCCCUUGGUCUCACUUCAUCAGCUCUCUGAGGAAGCCGUGUCUGACCACCUCUUUCCCAAGUCUGGAUUAGGUACAGUUUCCUUACCUCCUGGAAUACCACCUUGAACUUUCUCCUGCAGUACUUGUAAUGCGAGUAAAACAGGGUAUACCCAAUGACUUAUCUGUCUCAAAACUAUAGUUUUAUUUUAUAUUACCUCUGGAAUCCCUAUUCUUGGGAUGGGAUGGGAUGGGAUGGGAUGGGAUAGGAUGGGAUGGGAUGGGAUGGGAUGGGAUGGGAGGAAAUUUGUCAAUUGAAGAUAAUUCAGCCUCUUUCAGGUUGAAACAGUUUUCUACGUGAAAAUAUUUUUGUCAAUCCAAAGCUCCAAUUCUACACUAGGGCUGUGUCUGCCUUAUCCAAAGAAGGAGUCUUUCUGGACUUCUCCCCCCAGAUGGCAUAUGAAGGAGAAGCUUAUUAUGUUCAUAGUGACAGAGCAGAGCUCUUGUCCACAUGUCCUCUGGGUCUUCAUUUGCCUGAAAGAAAAGUCUGUCAUCUCGUUAGGUCAACAUUCUGGUGUCCCCUAACAUGUGGCUAAUUCUUCUGAUUCCUGCGUUCUUCAUUGUUGUUUCUUGAUGGAAUAUUGAGUAGUUACAAAAUGUUUAUAUAUAUAUAUAUGACAAAGAUUGUCUAUGUAUAUAUAUGACAAAUCUUGUUCUAUUUCAUAUAUAUAUAUAUAUAUAUAUAUAUAUGAAAUAGAACUCCCAUUUACCCACCACCCAAUUUAAUAAAAAGAACUAUACCUUAUUUUUGGCA